AUGGGCUCCGUGGCGGCGGACGCGCCGGAGGCGACGGAGACGGUGUUCCGGUCCAGGCUGCCGGACAUCGAGAUCCCGGCGCACCUCACGCUCCAGGACUACUGCUUCGAGCGGCUGCCGGAGGUGGCCGCCCGGCCCUGCCUCAUCGACGGGCAGACGGGCGCCGUGCACACCUACGCGGAGGUGUCAGAGCUCUCCCGCCGCUGCGCGGCGGGGCUGCGGCGGCUCGGCGUGGGGAAGGGCGACGUGGUCAUGAACCUGCUCCGCAACUGCCCGGAGUUCGCCUUCGUGUUCCUCGGCGCGGCCCGGCUGGGCGCCGCCACCACCACCGCCAACCCGUUCUGCACGCCGCACGAGAUCCACCGCCAGGCGAGCGCGGCCGGGGCGCGGCUGAUCGUCACCGAGGCCUGCGCCGUCGACAAGGUGCGCGCCUUCGCCGCCGAGCGCGGGAUCCCCGUGGUCACCGUCGACGGGCCGGCCUCCGACGACGGCGGCUGCCUCGCGUUCGACGAGGCCCUGCUGCCCGCGGAGCCGCUCGCCGCCGACGAGCAGGUCGACCCCGACGACGUGGUGGCCCUCCCCUACUCGUCCGGCACCACGGGGCUGCCCAAGGGCGUCAUGCUCACCCACCGCAGCCUCGUCACCAGCGUCGCGCAGCAGGUGGACGGGGAGAACCCGAACUUGUAUUUCGGCCCGAAUGACGUGCUGCUGUGCGUGCUGCCGCUGUUCCACAUCUACUCGCUCAACUCGGUGCUGCUGGCGGGGCUGCGCGCCGGGUGCGCGAUCGUGAUCAUGCGCAAGUUCGACCACGGCGCGCUGGUGCGCCUGGUGCGCGCGCACGCGGUCACCGUGGCGCCCUUCGUGCCGCCCAUCGUCGUCGAGAUCGCCAAGAGCGACCGGGUGACGGCCGCCGACCUCGCGUCCAUCCGCAUGGUCAUGUCCGGCGCGGCCCCCAUGGGCAAGGACCUCCAGGACGCCUUCAUGGCCAAGAUCCCCAACGCCGUGCUCGGGCAGGGGUACGGGAUGACGGAGGCCGGGCCGGUGCUGUCCAUGUGCCUGGCGUUCGCCAAGGAGCCGUUCGGGGUCAAGUCGGGGUCGUGCGGCACGGUGGUGCGGAACGCGGAGCUCAAGAUCGUGGACCCCGACACCGGCGCCUCCCUCGGCCGCAACCUGCCGGGGGAGAUCUGCAUCCGCGGCAACCAGAUCAUGAAAGGUUACCUAAAUGACCCAGAGUCCACAAAGAACACCAUUGACAAGGACGGUUGGCUGCAUACUGGAGACAUUGGCUAUGUCGAUGAUGACGACGAGAUCUUCAUUGUCGACAGGCUCAAGGAGAUAAUCAAAUACAAGGGAUUCCAAGUACCUCCUGCGGAACUCGAAGCCCUUCUCAUCACACACGCCGAAAUCAAAGAUGCUGCUGUCGUAUCGAUGCAAGAUGAAGUUACUGGUGAAGUUCCAGUUGCAUUCAUUGUGCGGAUUGAAGGCUCUGAGAUCAGCGAGAGCGAGAUCAAGCAGUUUGUUGCAAAAGAGGUCGUUUUCUACAAGAGGAUCCACAAAGUUUUCUUCGCUGACUCGGUUCCGAAGAGUCCUGCUGGCAAGAUCCUCAGGAAGGACCUGAGAGCAAAGCUUGCUGCAGGCAUCCCAGGCAGUGAAAGCACACAGUCCAAAAGCUGA
rnacentral:rRNA from 1 species